UACGGAGGGUGCGAGCGUUGUCCGGAAUCACUGGGCGUAAAGGGCGCGUAGGCGGCUUCUCAAGCGUGUGGUGAAAGUCCGGGGCUCAACCCCGGAUCGGCCGUGCGGACUGGGGAGCUCGAGUUCUGUAGAGGCGGGUGGAAUUCCGGGUGUAGCGGUGGAAUGCGUAGAGAUCCGGAAGAACACCGGUGGCGAAGGCGGCCUGCUGGGCGGCGACUGACGCUGAGGCGCGACAGCGUGGGGAGCAAACAGG
rnacentral:rRNA from 1 species